rnacentral:tRNA from 1 species
GGGUGGUUAGCUCAACGGCCAGAGCACUGCGUUUACAUCGCAGGGGUUAUAGGUUCGAAUCCUAUACCACCCA